GAUGAACGCUGGCGGCGUGCCUAAUACAUGCAAGUAGAACGCUGAAGGAGGAGCUUGCUCUUCUGGAUGAGUUGCGAACGGGUGAGUAACGCGUAGGUAACCUGCCUGGUAGCGGGGGAUAACUAUUGGAAACGAUAGCUAAUACCGCAUGACAACAGUUAUUGCAUGAUAACUGUUUAAAAGGGGCAACUGCUCCACUACCAGAUGGACCUGCGUUGUAUUAGCUAGUUGGUGAGGUAACGGCUCACCAAGGCGACGAUACAUAGCCGACCUGAGAGGGUGAUCGGCCACACUGGGACUGAGACACGGCCCAGACUCCUACGGGAGGCAGCAGUAGGGAAUCGUCGGCAAUGGACGGAAGUCUGACCGAGCAACGCCGCGUGAGUGAAGAAGGUUUUCGGAUCGUAAAGCUCUGUUGUAAGAGAAGAACGAGUGUGAGAGUGGAAAGUUCACAGUGUGACGGUAUCUUACCAGAAAGGGACGGCUAACUACGUG
rnacentral:rRNA from 1 species